GAAGCAGUGGCAUGUCUGUAAUCCAGAGUGCUCAGGAUUCCAAGCUGGGAAAAUAGCUUGAGCUCAGGAGACGUCGAUGGGAGUAGCCCUGUGUUGACUAGGUGUCCAUGCUAAGUUCAACAUCAUAAUUGUACUCCUGGGAGAGCCUAGAGCUACAAGGUUGAUUAAGGAGAAGUCAACGUACUUGGGUCAGAAACAGAGCAGGUCAAAGUCCUUGUGUCGGUCAAUAGUGGGAUCGUGCCUGUAAGCCAGGGCUUUGACCCAGCCUGAGUGAUAAAGUGAGAUGCAUUCUGGUCUUU
rnacentral:SRP_RNA from 1 species